ACCAUCCUCUUGAGGUUGCGCUACUGUCCAAUGAGCACGUAGUGAGGGCAGUACUGCUAACACCUACACAACAUACUCACACAGCUUUCCUUUAUAUUGGUGCGAUUUUUAGACAA
ensembl:snRNA